UAGGGAAUCUUCCACAAUGGACGCAAGUCUGAUGGAGCAACGCCGCGUGAGUGAAGAAGGUUUUCGGAUCGUAAAGCUCUGUUGUUGGUGAAGAAGGAUAGAGGCAGUAACUGGUCUUUAUUUGACGGUAAUCAACCAGAAAGUCACGGCUAACUACGUGCCAGCAGCCGCGGUAAUACGUAGGUGGCAAGCGUUGUCCGGAUUUAUUGGGCAUAAAGCGAGCGCAGGCGGAAUGAUAAGUCUGAUGUGAAAGCCCACGGCUCAACCGUGGAACUGCAUCGGAAACUGUCAUUCUUGAGUGCAGAAGAGGAGAGUGGAAUUCCAUGUGUAGCGGUGGAAUGCGUAGAUAUAUGGAAGAACACCAGUGGCGAAGGCGGCUCUCUGGUCUGCAACUGACGCUGAGGCUCGAAAGCAUGGGUAGCGAACAGG
rnacentral:rRNA from 1 species